rnacentral:lncRNA from 1 species
AACCUUUUCUCCCUGGUGGAGGAACCACUUGCAUGAGAAUAAGAGGUUGUUCCCCAGGCCAUCAGACUCCAAACAGUUAUGCAACUGGAGCCUCCUGAGGAUGACCCCUUCUGCCUGGGACCCUUAGAUCAGCCUCUAGAGAAGCUUUGACUGCUGUUUCCCCAAAACAGCACCCCCUGCCAUCAGGAAGCAGUGAGAAUGCUAAAUGAUAGCUGUAUGGAUUAGGUUCAGCUUUUCACAUUGGGAAAAAUGACUGAUGGACCCUCAGAUGAGAGUGUUGCUACCAUGUCAACAUCACAAUAGUUUCCCUCCUCCAAAAAGCACCAAAACAAGCAUGAGCCACAAGAAACUGGGAACAAAAGGAAUCUUUGUUAUUUUAUUCAACAGAAAGCCAUGUUGGUUCACCACAUGUAUCGCAUCCUGAUAAUGUGAAGUGAAAAAGUAGAGCCUGGAAGCCUUUGUAAGAUGACUGUGCCAGAGGAGGAAGAUAAAUAUCUCGAUGCUAUGGAGGCCUGUCAGCUCUUUGAAGUAUCUGGGCAAUAUCAAGAUUUCUACUUCAGAUGAAAAAACAAAUAGUUAUUCAUUGACCCUGUUGCCGCCAAGAAAGAGGUGAAAGGUGAACCCCCAACCCACGGAAAGAUCCAGCCAAGUAAGGAACUGCAAAAUAUUGAAUGACUAAUUCUCCAAACAAGGAGAACAAGAAGAUUUAUACUAGCCAUGCAAGGAAUCUUUGGAAGUCUAACAGACCUGACUUGAAGAGAAGGCUUUAAACAAGAAAUUCUUCAUUCUGGAACAGUGAUUCUUAAAGUGCGGUUCAGAGACCCUGGGAGACACUGACAUUCUUUCAGAGUGUGAGUGAGGAUUUCCUCUUUGCAACUACAAUCUGUGUAAGGUUGGAUUUUCUUUACAUACAUAAACUAAAAUAAGAUUGCAAUAAGAUGAAUGCAGAAGCAGAUAAGAGAAUCCAGCUGUCUUAAGUUAGACUUCACAGAGAUUUGCAAAAAUCCAAACAAGACCACUCUCGUCAUUAAAGUUAUUUUCCAUUUGUUAUGGUGAACUUAUUUUGCAGGAAAUUUGUUAUUUAUAGUAACAUACAAUUUUGUUUUUUGAUCAUUUUAAAUAAAUUAAUAAAUAUUAUAAGUUUUCUAUUUUUAAAAUUAUACAUGUCAGAAAAGAACAGUUCUUUCAGGUCCUCAACAAUUUUAAGACUAUUAACUUGUUUUGGAUCAAAAAGUUCUAGAUUUGCUAUUCUAGACAUGAAUCCUUUGAAAUUAAUUGGCUUCAUAAGUAUAUUUUUCAAGUUUGUGGCUUGUCCUGUAACCUUCUACUGUGUAGAAGUUUUAAAUUUUAAUUUAAAGAAAUUUAAAAUUUUUUCAUUUUUGUUUGUGCUUUUGGUGUCAUAUUUAGGAAAUCCUUCUCUACCUUGAGUUCAUGAAAAUAUCCUCUUAUAUUUAGUAUUUACAGUUUGUUCUUCAUCUUUAGGUCUAUAAUUUAUUGAAAAUAUAGUUUUGUAUGUGAUGUAAGCUAAAGAUAUUUUUUAAAACUUGAUAUGGAUAACACAUUUUGGCAAUAUUAUUCAUCCACUCAUUCUCCCACUGACUUUCCCUCUGCCACUUACUUACCUACAUAAGAAUUUGUCGUGGAGAUUCUCUUUUCUAUUCUUUUAGUCUAAUGGCUUAAUUGUUGAUCAAUUACCCUUUUUAACUAUUGAUGCUUUAGAGUAAGUCUUGAUAUAAAGCCAUGUAAGUCCCUUGAAUUAGUCUCCCACUUUUCCUUCUUAAAAACAUUCUGGGAUCUUCUUGGCCUUUAACUCCUCUGACUUAAUUUUAGGAUCAAUUUCUCAGAUUACAUUAACAACCUGUUCAAAUUGCAUAGAUUUUAUAGGUAAAUCUGUAUAAAAUUUACAUGUUAUAAUAUUGGGGCUUUUUAUUCAUAAACAUUUUCACCAACGUUUUAGUUUCAUAUCUUCCAAUAAGAUUUUAUAAUUUUUCAUACCUAUCUUAGAUGAUUUUGGUUGCAUUUAUUUUUUAUAGUUUUAGUUUUAUUGUCAAUGCAGCUUUUUCCAAUUCAAUUUUAUAACAGUUUUGCUGGUUAAAAAAAAAAAAAAGACUAUUUAUUUUGUGUAUUGGUUUUUAAAUUGUACAAUGUUUCUGAAUUUUCUUACUUCCAAACAGUCGUCUAUAAAUUAUCUUGAUUGUCUAAAAUGUGAAAUUCAUAUACUAUGAGAAUGAUAAUUUUAUUUUUUCAUUUUCAAUUCUUAAACUUCUGAUGACACUUGGCUGGAACCUCCUUCACUAGGUUGAAAAUAAGUGGCAACAGUGGUAUCCUUGUUCUGUUAUUGAUUCCAAGAGCCUGCCUCUAAUGUUUCCCCAUGUAUUAUGAUGUUUGUGUAAAUUUUGAUAGACCUUAUUUAUUAAGUAAAAAGAUUCUCUUCUAGUUCAAGUUUGGUCUACAAGUUUUUAUUGUGAAAGUGAACUGAAUUUUAGAAAUACCUUUUAAUGUGUAUAAAAAAUUAUAUCUUUAUUUCUGUUAAUGUGAUAAAUUACAUUAAGAGAUUUUAUUAAUAUUUGGUUAUCUUUGUAUUUCAACAAUUAUUUGGUUAUCUUUGUAUUUCAACAAUUAUAGUCAUAUUAUUAAAUAUUAAUUUGGUUAGCUAA